GGGGAAUAUUGGACAAUGGGGGCAACCCUGAUCCAGCCAUGCCGCGUGAGUGAAGAAGGCCUUAGGGUUGUAAAGCUCUUUCACCCGUGACGAUGAUGACGGUAACGGGAGAAGAAGCCCCGGCUAAUUCCGUGCCAGCAGCCGCGGUAAUACGGAAGGGGCUAGCGUUGUUCGGAAUUACUGGGCGUAAAGCGCGCGUAGGCGGCCAUGCAAGUGAGGCGUGAAAGGCCUGGGCUCAACCUGGGAACUGCGCUUCAGACUGCAUGGCUUGAGUCCGGGAGAGGGUGGUGGAAUUCCCAGUGUAGAGGUGAAAUUCGUAGAUAUUGGGAGGAACACCAGUGGCGAAGGCGGCCACCUGGCCCGGUACUGACGCUCAAGUGCGAAAGCGUGGGGAGCAAAC
rnacentral:rRNA from 1 species